CGCAGGCGGCCUUUUAAGUUGGAUGUGAAAGCCUAUGGCUCAACCAUAGAACUGCAUCCAAAACUAUUGGGCUAGAGUGUGGGAGAGGAAGAUGGAAUUAGUUGUGUAGGGGUAAAAUCCGUAGAGAUAACUAGGAAUACCAAAAGCGAAGGCAAUCUUCUGGAACAUUACUGACGCUGAGGCGCGAAAGCGUGGGGAGCAAACAGGAUUAGAUACCCUGGUAGUCCACGCCCUAAACGAUGAAUGUUAGUCGUCGGGUAGCUAGUCUAUUCGGUGAUGCAGCUAACGCAUUAAACAUUCCGCCUGGGGAGUACGGUCGCAAGAUUAAAACUCAAAGGAAUAGACGGGGACCCGCACAAGUGGUGGAGCAUGUGGUUUAAUUCGAAGAUACGCGAAGAACCUUACCUAGCCUUGACAUAUAUUAGAACACUUUAGAGAUAGAGUGGUGCCUUCGGGAGCUUUUAUACAGGUGCUGCACGGCUGUCGUCAGCUCGUGUCGUGAGAUGUUGGGUUAAGUCCCGCAACGAGCGCAACCCUCGUCACUAGUUACUAACGGUUCGGCCGAGGACUCUAGUGAGACUGCCUUCGUAAGGAGGAGGAAGGUGAGGACGACGUCAAGUCAUCAUGGCCCUUACGGCUAGGGCAACACACGUGCUACAAUGGCCAGGACAAUGAGAAGCGAUACCGCGAGGUGGAGCAAAUCUAUAAACCUGGUCUCAGUUCGGAUUGUAGUCUGCAACUCGACUACAUGAAGCUGGAAUCACUAGUAAUCGUAGAUCAGCUAUGCUACGGUGAAUACGUUCCCGGGUCUUGUAC
rnacentral:rRNA from 1 species